AGUUUGAUCCUGGCUCAGGAUGAACGCUGGCGGCGUGCUUAACACAUGCAAGUCGAACGGGAUCCAUCAAGCUUGCUUGAUGGUGAGAGUGGCGAACGGGUGAGUAAUGCGUGACUAACCUGCCUCAUACACCGGAAUAGCUCCUGGAAACGGGUGGUAAUGCCGGAUGCUCCAACAUUUCACAUGUUUUGUUGGGAAAGCGUUAGCGGUAUGAGAUGGGGUCGCGUCCUAUCAGCUUGUUGGUGAGGUAAUGGCUCACCAAGGCUUCGACGGGUAGCCGGCCUGAGAGGGCGACCGGCCACAUUGGGACUGAGAUACGGCCCAGACUCCUACGGGAGGCAGCAGUGGGGAAUAUUGCACAAUGGGCGAAAGCCUGAUGCAGCGACGCCGCGUGCGGGAUGAAGGCCUUCGGGUUGUAAACCGCUUUUAAUUGGGAGCAAGCGAGAGUGAGUGUACCUUUUGAAUAAGCACCGGCUAACUACGUGCCAGCAGCCGCGGUAAUACGUAGGGUGCAAGCGUUAUCCGGAAUUAUUGGGCGUAAAGAGCUCGUAGGCGGUUUGUCACGCCUGGUGUGAAAGUCCAUCGCUUAACGGUGGAUCUGCGCCGGGUACGGGCAGGCUAGAGUGCAGUAGGGGAGAUUGGAAUUCCCGGUGUAACGGUGGAAUGUGUAGAUAUCGGGAAGAACACCAAUGGCGAAGGCAGAUCUCUGGUCUGUAACUGACGCUGAGGUGCGAAAGCGUGGGGAUCAAACAGGAUUAGAUACCCUGGUAGUCC
rnacentral:rRNA from 1 species